rnacentral:lncRNA from 1 species
GUCACUUAUACCAGCAAGAAGACUGACUAGCUAGGGUAUAAAGCUUCCCUGGUGCUGUGAGACAGCACGGCUACCUGUCCAUGCUUGUCUUCACUGUCCUCUACACCUUUUUUUUUUUUAAUAUUUAUUUUUUAGUUGUAGUUGGACACAAUACCUUUAUUUCACUUAUUUAUUUUUAUGUGGUGCUGAGAAUCGAACCCAGGUCACGUACAUGCAAGGCGAUCGCUCUACUGCUGAGCCACAACCCCAGCCCUUCCAUACACUCUUCCCGCUGGAUCUGUCAGAACUGCAGGAGACUGGGGUCCCUCUGCAAAACAGUGAACAUGGAGUGCUGUUGAGUGUGUUCCAAGCUCAGUGAGUGCUGUGAAUCCAGGUGUUUUGAGGGACAAUGAAGGCUGAAAAGGCACCAGCCUCAUAGGCCCUCAGGCUUGAAGUUCUUCUAGAAAACUUUGGAUAAAACCAGACUAUAACUUUUAUUUUCCAUUGAGUGUCAAAUAGUUAUUACUGAUUAUACUUUGUGUGUGUGUGUGUGUGUGUGUGUACGCAUGCUCAGUGCUGGAGAUGGAACCCAGGGCCUCAUGCAUACUAAGCAUGCACUGGGUCACUGCCCCUAUUGAUGAUUCUAGACUAGUGCUAUCCCAUACAGUCAUUGAGCACUUGAAACUGAGAUGUUAUCUAAGUAUCAAAUACAUACUGGAUUUUUAAAUCAAUACUAAAAACAAUGUUAAACAUUAUUUUUAGGUAGAUUACAUUAUUGUAUAUGGGUAAUAUUUUGUAUCUAUU